rnacentral:rRNA from 1 species
AAUAUUUGUCAAUUGAGGCAACUCUGAACCAGCCACUGCGCGUGAAGGAUGACGGACAUACGGGUUGUCCACUUCUUUUAUACAGGACUAAAGUGAGUCACGUGUGACUUUUUGCAUGUACUUUAUGAAUAUGGAUCGGCUAACUCCGUGCCAGCAGCCGCGGUAAUACGGAGGAUCCAAGCGUUAUCCGGAUUUAUGGGGUGUAAAGGGUGCGAAGGCGGAAGAUUAAGACGGCGGUGGAAUUUUGCAGCUCAGCUGUAAAAGUGCCAUCGAUACUGGUUUUCUUGAGGGUGGAUGAAGUAGGCGGAAUUUGUGGUGUAGCGGUGAAAUGCAUAGAUAUCACGAGGAACUCCGAUUGCGCAGGCAGCUUACUAGGCCAUAACUGACGCUCAGGAACGAAGGCGUGGGGAUCAAACA